GACGAACGCUGGCGGCGUGCUUAACACAUGCAAGUCGAACGGAAAGGCCCUGCUUUUGUGGGGUGCUCGAGUGGCGAACGGGUGAGUAACCCGUGAGUAACCUGCCCUUGACUUUGGGAUAACUUCAGGAAACUGGGGCUAAUACCGGAUAGGAGCUCCUGCUGCAUGGUGGGGGUUGGAAAGUUUCGGCGGUUGGGGAUGGACUCGCGGCUUAUCAGCUUGUUGGUGGGGUAGUGGCUUACCAAGGCUUUGACGGGUAGCCGGCCUGAGAGGGUGACCGGCCACAUUGGGACUGAGAUACGGCACAGACUCCUACGGGAGGCAGCAGUGGGGAAUAUUGCACAAUGGGCGGAAGCCUGAUGCGGCAACGCCGCGUGGGGGAUGACGGCCUUCGGGUUGUAAACCGCUUUCGCCUGUGACGAGGCGUGAGUGACGGUAAUGGGUGAAGAAGCACCGGCUAACUACGUG
rnacentral:rRNA from 1 species